rnacentral:rRNA from 1 species
GAUAAACGCUGGCGGCGUGCAUUAUGCAUGCAAGUCGAACGGUGCCCGCAAGGGCACAGUGGCAAACGGGUGAGUAACACAUAAGUAACCUGUCCCUGAGUGGGGAAUAAUCGGCCGAAAGGCCGACUAAUACCGCAUUCGAUAGACUUUCACAAGGAGGUCUAUGAAAGCCGCAAGGCGCUCGGGGAGGGGCUUGUGUCCGAUUAGCUAGUUGGUGAGGUAACGGCCCACCAAGGCUGUGAUCGGUAGCUGGUCUGAGAGGAUGGUCAGCCACACUGGGACUGAGACACGGCCCAGACUCCUACGGGAGGCUG